AGUGAACGCUGGCGGCAUGCCUAACACAUGCAAGUCGAACGGCAGCACAGUAAGAGCUUGCUCUUACGGGUGGCGAGUGGCUGACGGGCGCGGAAUACAUCGGAAUCUACUUUUUCGUGGGGGAUAACGUAGGGAAACUUACGCUAAUACCGCAUACGACCUACGGGUGAAAGCAGGGGAUCUUCUGACCUUGCGCGAUUGAAUGAGCCGACGUCGGAUUAGCUAGUUGGCGGGGUAAAGGCCCACCAAGGCGACGAUCCGUAGCUGGUCUGAGAGGAUGAUCGGCCACACGGGAACUGAGAAACGGCCCAGACACCUACGGGAGGCAGCGGUGGAGAAUAUUGGACGAAGGGCGCAAGCCUGAUCCAGCUAUACCGCGUGGGUGAAGAAGGCCUUCGGGUUGUAAAGCCCUUUUGUUGGGAAAGAAAAGCAGCAGGUUAAUACCCCGCUGUUAUGACGGUACCCAAAGAAUAAGCACCGGCUAACUUCGUG
rnacentral:rRNA from 1 species